CAGGCUGGAAAAAAUUAAACAGUCUAGCAAUAUACCAAGUAUUGGUGUGGAUGUACAUAACUGAAUUUCUUAUUCAUUGCUGGUAGGAAUAUAAAUAGUUUCAACUGCUUUAGACUAUAAUUUGGCAUUAUCUUGUGAACUAGAGCAUUUGUAAACCAUGUGACUCGGUAUUUCUGCCCCCUUAUGUAUGUGUGUGAACAGGUGUCUGUAACAGCCGUCUCCACACCUGGAGACAGCCCAGCUGCUGUUCUUGAAGGGAGCAGUGACAGUGUCGUGAACCAAGGAUCAUGAUUCUGCCCAGCUGUGUGCACCCAAAGCAAGACUGAAGUAAGAAGGACCAAGAGGAGCGCCUAAUACAGCUCCGAUGGGGUGUUUAAGAAUGAGAGCAAGUUUCUUCAGUGUUGUCGGCCCCUAUCUCUCCCAUGGCCUGCCCUCGUCUCACCUCUCACCCCUCCAAAUCAAGGCAUGUCUGAGCUCGGUCUGCCCAGGACUGUUGAUGAGCUUUCGCUUCUGCUUUGUUUCUGAACUAACAUGUGUUCUUCAGAACGGCUCGCACGGCCCCGUGGGAUUAUGACAGCUCUCAGCCGAGCUCUGCCAGCUAUUAAUAGAAAUACUAUGAGGUGAGUUUGAAAGUCAGGAUGGAAGCCUCCUAAUGCUUGUUGCCACAGUGGCCAGUUGAUGUCACUCCCAGACUUAGGGAGAAAGUAAACAUGCAGCUUGAUCGCAUGUUUGCAUGCGUGCUCAGUCGUGUCUGACUUCUGUGACCCCGUGGACUGUAUCCCGCCAGGCUCCUCUGUCC
ensembl:lncRNA